UACGGAGGAUGCAAGCGUUAUCCGGAAUGAUUGGGCGUAAAGCGUCCGCAGGUGGCUGUGUAAGUCUGCUGUUAAAGAGUGAGGCUCAACCUCAUAAAAGCAGUGGAAACUACACGGCUAGAGUGCGUUCGGGGCAGAGGGAAUUCCUGGUGUAGCGGUGAAAUGCGUAGAUAUCAGGAAGAACACCGGUGGCGAAAGCGCUCUGCUAGGCCGCAACUGACACUGAGGGACGAA
rnacentral:rRNA from 1 species